CCAACACCGCUUUGUCAUUAAAAUUCUAAUAACUUUAUUAGGUACCUACUCGUAGACAAAAUAAACGGCGAUAACAGAUAUGCCUUUACAAGAAUACAUUAUUA
rnacentral:lncRNA from 1 species